GAGCAACAACUGGCUCAGAGGCGAGAGCGUUCUCAUCCUUUUUUUUUUUUUUUUUUGGUUGUUGUUGUUGAGCAUCCGUAAGGCUGUGCUGUAUCUACCUGCAGAUUCAGGGGGCUGCCGAGCGACUGGUCAGGACUCCUCCAGCACGCUCGGGGCACAUGGGUGACGCCUGCACUCUGCUCCGCCGUGUCCCCAGCACACUAACCCAUAUACAUCAGCUGUGGACGGAAGCAAGGCGAGCUUAUCAUCCAAGGCAUAUCAGAGCCCAACAUCAGACGACACCCUGGCUUUGUGCUCAGUAGGAGGGCGCCUCUGCAGCAGGACUGAAGGGGAACGCUCAUUACUCUUGGAUAUCUGCCAGUGAACCAGCCUGGGCUUAGCCACUGAAGACAGGAGCGAUGGGAAUCGUAUGGAUGGAAAUCAGGGGUCCAGAGCUGGAGGCUGGCUGCAGAAUGCUGAUGGUUCAGAAAAGCCAUUGAUGGGGCCUUGCCUUGAGAUACAAGGCAUCUUCAAUCAAUCAUUUCAAAACUGCUCGCUGUUGCCAAAUGGUUGAGGAUCAUGCAGUAUCUUUCAAUUCGUUUUGCUCCCUUCCUAAAGACUCUCUUCGGUGACGGGUAUUCUUGGGUGGAUAAUACGGAUCGCGUUGUUAUUGCUUAAGAAUACGCGUAGUCGAGGAGAGUCAUUUCUUCAGCGACUUCAAGGAACUAAAAUCCAAUGAACUUAAAUCCUAAAGUGCUCAGCUGCCAGGUCUCUUUAUAUUGUAGGCUACAGCACAGAAACAUUGAAACCAGCACCAAGUUCCAUUUUUCAAGUACACAGAAACAUCACCAUUCCCUGUUUAUUUCUGUGCUGUUGAGCCUUUGUGAAUAGUGCAGCUGUACCGACAUUGCCUUUUGCAUUUUUUUUCUAGUUCCAUAGUUGCUAACAUUUUUUUCUGCAGAAAAUUAUUUUGGAUAAAUAUUUUGUAAUGAAGUCACUUUUCUGCCAAUGGACUGUCAUUUACUUUGAAUGCAUGAGUUCCAUGCAUUUUAUGUGUAGGUGUUUAGCCAUAUGUUCUUGCUUGAGCUUCAUACAGAAUAUACAAUGCUGUGUUUCUUUGCAUUUUAAGGAAUGCUAAAUAGGAUGGUUGUGCUGUAUAGACGUGGCUCAGGCAACAAAUGGAAAUGCAAGUGGUAUUAUUUUUUUGUUAUCUGUCCCCAAGACCAGACAUUUUAUCUCAUCGCCUCCAGCCCCACCCCUAGCCCCUCCUUCACACGCACACAUGCACACACGCACACAUGCGUGCGCAAACACACACACACACACACACGCGCACGGGCAUACUUUUUUAUGCAAAUCGAUAUUGAAAUGACAUUUCCCGUCCAGAGAUUCUUCUCUGAGGAUGGCGGUGGCACAAGGGCCGUGAAACAAAAUGUCCACCGUGUCAGCGAUAGCUCAAUUUAUGCAACGAGAGGCCAAGUGCGUCUGAACAAAUGACGCACCGCAGGUUAGCCAUUGCCACCGUCUCUAUGGAACAUUGUCACUUUCUCUAAAUGCAUACAUUUACAUUAUUGUCCCUCACACUGUAUUUUAAUGUGCAGAACAUAUGCUGAAUAUCAGCCGAAAUUUAAUGGUUUGUACUACACAGUGAUAUGUGUGAUAGAGCUUUUCAUGAAUAUAAGUUUUGCUUAAUAAUUCCAGCACAUAACCAAAGACAAUGUGUUGAUUUACUGAUGAUACAUGUUUAUCGCAAGUUUAUUUUUUCAGUUUAAAUAUUUUUCUUCUGUUUGUCAAAAACAAUAAAGCAUUUAUAUUGAUCACAGUUA